ensembl:lincRNA
AGUUUAUGGGACCUGCUGUUAUGUUCUCCAUCAUUGCUAGCUCCUGCUGAUGUUGUUUUCUGUAAUGCGUUCAUCUUAUACAAACCAUUACAUCUUAUUCAUUUCUCACUACCAUUACCCAUAAUUGAGCAAUCUGAUGAUUAUGUUGAAGAAAAUAAAUAUUUCAAACGUCAACACUUCUCCUGCCCUCCUGAUUCUCUGACCGGAAUCUGGUCCAUAUUUGGCCGCCUCAACCAGUGGAAAAUUUACAUGUAGUAAGGUUUACUACAUUAUUAUGGUCCUUCGAGCCGGAGUGAGAGCAAUAUAAAACCAGUAUGGACCGAACAGGAAGUGACACUGAGAAAAUGGAUAGAACCCACCGCAGGACACAUCUGCCACCUCACCUGGAUGAUUAUGAAGUUGAUUACCAACCUUUACAGGACCCUCCCCCAAAAGCUUCUACAACCUGUCCCAGUCAUUCUAGAAGCAGCUCGAGGAAAACGUCCCGCAGUGGUAUCAGCUCUCAUUCUAGGACGAGUAGACGUUCUGUUACCUCCACUGGUGUUUAUCUCCCACCAGAACUCUCUAGUGUCCAGACAGCUGUUUUGGAGGAGAAGAUUAAGCAGAGACAGUUUGAUAGUCUACAGCAGCAGGUACAGGAGGACUCACUAGCUGACGUGGAAUAUCAGCGCCUGCAGA